UUCUCUCUGAUUUAAUAGAGGGUAUAACCUGCCCACUGACAUGUUAAAGGGCUGCAGGAUUUAACUGUGCAAAGGUAGCGUAAUAAUUAGUUUUUUAAUUAAGGAAUGGAAUGAAUGGUUGAAUAGUGUUUAAUUUUUAGUGCUUAAUUUAUUGAAAUUGAAUAUUAAGUGAAAAUGCUUAGAAUACUCUAAAAGACGAUAAGACCCUAUAGAUCUUUAUACUUGUUUUAUAAUUAUUAGCAGAUAGAGGUAAGUUAAAGUAAGGAUUUUACUGGGGUGGUAGUAGAAAUAUAUAAACUUCUUGAAUUUUAAUAACUUAAACUUAGAAUAAAAAGAUACCUUAGGGAUAACAGCGUUAUUAAAUUUUAGAGAUCUUAUCGAUAAUUUAGUUUGCGACCUCGAUGUUGAAUUAAGGAGUUAGUUUUUAGCAGUAUAUAAAUUUAAUGGUCUGUUCGACCAUUUAUACCUUACA
rnacentral:rRNA from 2 species